CUGAUAAAUUCAGGGAGCAAGACCGUAUAGCUGCCAUGAUAGGAUGUGCAGAUUCACAAAACAGAAAGUGGAGAGAAGCUGAAGUCUAGAUUGAGGAAGAAUCCAUUUCUUAUCCUUUACUGGAAUCUGUACUGAAUCCAUCCUGUGACAGGACAUUGCUUUGUUUUGUUCAUUCAAGUGUCCUGUGGAUACAACAGUGCCUGCCACACCCCAGAUGCUCAGAAACUAUUUGUUGCAAUUAUCCAGUAAUCCAGAAUUUGGGUUUGGAAUUGUGAGGCAGCCACUUUAUGGCAAAUUUCCACUUCUUUCCUUAUAUAAAUAGGGGUCACUAUUUCUGACAUGGGUAUAUUUUUAUUGGAUCAAGGGAAGGAACUCUGAGUAUAGGAGAAAGGUCAAGUGCCCCAAUCCCAGGUGAGAAGGAAUGCUGAAGAUAAAUCACGUCUCAGUUCAGCAUGACACAGAGGAGCCAGGAUCUUUGGGAUGGUGGCAACUUUCAAAGGUGACAGACCUAUAGAUAAAUGUUUCCUUGAAGUUUUUCAAGCCCAUACCUGCCUCAGGCCUUUGAACCUGCUAUUUUGUCUACGUGAAAGUAUAUGUUUUCUAGGCACUAAAUAUGUUCUAGUGAUAUCAGAAUGACUAAAAUAUAUUCCUACGUUCACCGUGAAUCUUUAUAACCAAUAUCAGAGUCAACCAUGAAGAAACUCCAGCCUGUCUCCCCCAACAUGGCAGCUGCUGAAGACGAGUUACUGCUGCCACGGCUCCCGGAGCUGUUCAAAACUGGCAAACAGCUUCUGGAGGAAGUAGAAGUAACGGCUGAACCCACUGGUUCCCGGAUAGUCCAGAAAAAGGUGUUCAAGGGACUAGACCUCCUUGAGAAGGCUGCCGAAAUGUUAUCACAGCUCAACUUGUUUAGUCGAAAUGAAGAUUUGGAAGAGAUUGCUUCCAUUGACUUGAAGUACCUGAUGGUGCCAGCACUUCAAGGAGCCCUCACCAUGAAACAAGUCAACCCCAGCAAGCGUCUAGAUCAUUUACAGGAGGCUCGAGAACAUUUUAUAAACUACUUAACUCAGUGUCAUUAUUAUCAUGUGGCAGAGUUUGAACUGCCCAAAACCAGGAACAACUCUGCUGAAAAUAACACUGCUAGUUCUUCCAUGGCCUAUCCUAACCUCGUUUCUAUGGCAUCUCAAAGACAGGCUAAAAUAGAGAGAUACAAGCAGAAGAAGGAUUUGGAGCAUAGAUUGUCUGCACUGAAAUCUGCUGUGGAAAGUGGUCGAGCAAAUGAUGAGAAUGUUCGUGAAUAUUAUCUCCUUCACCUUCAGAGGUGGAUUAGUAUCAGCUUAGAAGAGAUUGAGAGCAUUGACCAGGAGAUGAAUAUCCUAAGAGAAAAAAACUUUUCAAGGGAGGGAUCAACUUCUUACUUAUCUCAUCAGGAUAGGCCACCAAUGAAACCCUUUAUUCUCAUGCGAGACAAGGCCCAAGCCAAAGUUUUUGGAUCUGGUUAUCCAAGUCUGGCAUCUAUGACAGUGAGUGACUGGUACGAUCAGCAUCGGAAAUAUGGAGCAUUACCAGAUCGGGGAAUAGCCAAGGCAACAACAGAGGAGUUCAAAAGAGCAGCUCAGCAACAGGGAGAUCAAGAACAAAAGGAGGAAGAGGACGAUGAAAAAGCACUCCACAGAGUUCGGGAGUGGGAUGAUUGGAAGGACACCCAUCCUCGGGGAUAUGGCAACCGACAGAACAUGGGCUAACUUCCCACAACACACAGGAUAAUGGGGUGCAUGUCUUGCCUGCUGAGGAAAACCACGCAGUCUUUCCCUCCCUGAACUGCUUCAGCUGUGUAUGAGGCAGGCAAAGAUACUAAAUCUUGCUUUGCAUUCAAAAAAGUGUCAAAUGAUUAAGUGUCUAUUUGUACCCUAGAUAAUAAGCCAGUAAUCUUGUUUUGGCAUUAUCAUCCUCAUCAUGGUGUAUUCUAAUUUCUUAAGUGAAAAUAAAAGAGCACUGAGAAAUGG